rnacentral:rRNA from 1 species
CGGACGGGUGAGUAACGCGUGAACAACAUGCCCUUCAGUGGGGGAUAGCCCAGGGAAACUUGGAUUAAUACCCCAUGGUCUCGCGAGAGUAAGGGUGGUCCCGCGCGAGCGGGACUGCCGCUGGAGGAUUGGUUCGCGCCCUAUCAGCUAGUUGGCGGGGUAACGGCCCACCAAGGCGACGACGGGUACCUGGUCUGAGAGGACGAUCAGGCACACUGGAACUGAGACACGGUCCAGACACCUACGGGUGGCAGCAGUCGAGAAUAAUUCACAAUGGGGGCAACCCUGAUGGUGCAACGCCGCGUGGAGGAUGACGGUCUUCGGAUUGUAAACUCCUGUCAUCCGGGAGCAAGACCUGACGGUGAAAAGCCGGCAGGGUUGAUAGUACCGGAAGAGGAAGGGACGGCUAACUUCGUGCCAGCAGCCGCGGUAAUACGAAGGUCCCGAGCGUUGUUCGGAAUCACUGGGCGUAAAGGGAGCGUAGGCGGCGUGGCAAGUCAGACGUGAAAGCCCGGGGCUCAACCCCGGAACUGCGUCCGAUACUGCCGUGCUUUGAGGGUUGGAGAGGUAGCUGGAAUUCUUGGUGUAGCAGUGAAAUGCGUGGAGAUCAAGAGGAACACUCGUGGCGAAAGCGAGCUACUGGACAACACCUGACGCUGAGGCUCGAAGGCCAGGGUAGCGAAAGGGAUUAGAUACCCUGUAGUC